GGCGGACGGGUGAGUAAUACUUAGGAAUCUGCCCAUUAGUGGGGGACAACUCGAGGAAACUCGAGCUAAUACCGCAUACGCCCUACGGGGGAAAGCGGAGGACCUUUCGGGGCUUCGCGCUAAUGGAUGAGCCUAAGUCGGAUUAGCUUGUUGGUGAGGUAAAGGCUCACCAAGGCGACGAUCCGUAGCUGGUCUGAGAGGACGAUUAGCCACACUGGGACUGAGACACGGCCCAG
rnacentral:rRNA from 1 species